UGGGCCAGCUUGGCUUGAGGUAGAACUGUGAGCAGCUAGGAGGUCCCUUGUCCUUGAAGAGUCUUGCAGGCACGGACUUUCCUCCUGGGUUGACUGGUGUUAGUUUGACAUCACACCUUGGCAGUGAUGAGCGCGUGCCUGCUUGAGCUGGAAGCUGUUUAACUACAUCCGUGAGACACUGUGUGCUGGGAAGCAAGAAUAAUAAACUUCUGGAAGCUGUAGGCUCCUGGCUGGUGCCAGGAGAAUGAGUGAUGAAGGAUUUUGCCUGCAGAUCCCAGCGCGAGCAGCGCCUCUCACUUUGAUCCGGUUGGAUCCAAUAACUGAUGUAUACUGUGGUUUUGGUAUGGACCUCACGAGUCGGGAGCUGCAGAAGUUACCUUCCUCAAAUUAACUUCAGAGCAAGUCUUCCCUGGAUGGGAUGAUGGAGAAUUAUGGUUCUAUUUCAAAUCAAGAAUGGAAGAUUAAUACUGACAAAUACAACUACCAGCUGGAUCUGUUUCAGUGUUCGUUGGCAUGAGUGGCUGCUCUCUGUCCUUUUCCAACUCAGCCAGACAAACUCAUUUGUAAUUAACAGAUUGGUGGCUGAAAAAAAUCCACUCAUCUCACCAGUUUUGAUGUUUUAGAAAGGCUUACACUGAAAAGAGGAUAAUAUCUGGGUUGCGUUCCAUGGGUACCCUCACAUAUCCUGAGCACAGAAGAGCAGUGGUAUGCAGUAAAAACUGGUGUCUGAAAGUUUAAAGACUUCUCUUAGUGCUUUCUAAGCCGUUACUUAGCAUUUUGUGGCAACUUUCCUUUUUUGUUUUUAGGAUGUUGUUGUGAUUUAACGAGAGAACUUGUCUCAUUUUAGAAUAAUAGUAAGUUCUUAUCACUUGACUGUAUGUCUACAUGUAGAU